CAUUAAAACUUGCUGAUUUGGAAAAGGAGUUGCUGAAAUUGGAAAACAAAGUGAGGUUUAUCCUUGGAGUUGUGAAGGGGGAAAUUGUAGUGAGCAAUAGGAAGAGAGCUGAUCUGNACAGAAAGGUUUCACUCCUUUCCCAAAGAAUAUAUCUGCCGAAGCAGUGGUUGCUGGGGCAGCUGAUGAUACCGAAGAACCAGAAGAGAGCAUAGAUGAAACGGAAGCAAACCCC
rnacentral:misc_RNA from 1 species